UAAGAGAUGCUUGUGGAGUUCCG
rnacentral:piRNA from 1 species